ACUACCUCCUCGGCCAGGGCACGGAGAUGCAGAAGCCAGUCCUCGGCCUGCUCCAGGGCAGUGGAGAGCUCACUAUGGCCAAGCUUCAAGGCCAGAGCAGCUUCUUUGAUCUGGCUCAGGUGACGGGUGCGUAGCCGGAACAGGUACUGAUCAAGGCUCCAGCACCUCUGGGCUCAGCACCGGCCAGACUGCUGGCCAAGCGUGGCUGGGAGACGUGCUUCUGCUCACCACCACACACGAACACUCCUGAGGAGACAGCCUUGGCUGAGCCAGGAGAGGCAUCUGAAGGUGCCAAGGACCCCCUACCUGCAGUCUGCAAGGAGCUCAUCUGUCAACUGAGCCACCAGGGCGUCCACAUCCUCGGAGGAACACUGUGCCUUCAGAGCCAAGUGGACCUGCUCCAGGGCAAGGUCCUGGGCUGGAAGGCCAACUCCAAAAUACCUAUCAGCCCAAAGCUGCCUCAGUCUCCUAAGUAGCCCUCUCCACACGUCAGGGCAUGUGAUAUGUGUUCCACCCUGGGGGACAAACCCUAGGAAGAAGACUCAGCUCCUGCUGUCGGGGAACUGUGGUCUUCUGGUAGAAUAAUGAGGAGUCCAGAGGACAGCAGGACAGUGACUCUGCAGUCUCAACUCCAAGUUCCCCCGCUGGCGUUAGCUGCCCACCACCAGCAGCUGCCAAUUUCAGGGACACUGCCCCUUCCUUGCCUUUCUGCCUCCUUUCCUACUGUGCUCAUCAGCCCGACCUUCCCCAUGCUUCCCCUCAUCCCUAUCAUGCAGCCACACUCACUUUCCCCAGUUGGGUGAUGCUCCCUGGAAGGGAGCCUGGAGCCACUGCCUAACCCAGCCAGAGGUUUCCCAGCAUCCUUCACCCCUCCCUUGGCCUUCACAUCUGUGCCCUCUCGAGAUUCUCCUGCAUGCCCCGAUGAAACAUAAGACAGCCUAAAAGGGCAGAGGGGUUCCCUGAAGCCUCUCCUCACUCCCACACAGAAUAUCUCUCACAUUCAAACACUCCGCCCCUCUCCCCAGAUUCCCAGCUUUGGACCCCAGAUCAUUUCUCUCAAAGCACCUCAUCUCCCCAAGACAAAUGUACCAAGGCCCAGCAGCCUGAGUUCCACGAGCUCCCAAGAAAGCCAUUGGCCUCCCAGGACCGUCUCACCCUCCCCAGAGUCCUUGCCAUGAUACGCUAGAUAUGGUCCUCGGUCCUCAUCUCUCACUUCCUCCCAUUGUCCCUAUGGCAUCCUCUUGAUGCUCCUUAGUUGGUCUCUCCGCCAUACUCCACACCUCUCCCUCAGCAGCCAUGAAGGCCACCUGCAUCUAAGUUUGGAGCCCCUAGCUUCUGGCUUCUAGCUGCUGGCUGGAAGUUUCUGGCACAACUAGAGAACACCAGGCGUAUCCCGACACUUCAGUUAUCUCUCAACCCUCCAUCUUUCAGUCAUCUCCAACAUCCACCUUGGGCAUCCCCAGCACCUUGAUACCCCAUCUCUACAAGUCUGCCUGCACAUCCUUCUGGCAGGGCUAGCGACCAGGCACCGUGUCUGGACAGGAUCCCACUCACCAGGCGGUCAGCGACCCUGAGGAGCUGGUUUUGGGUCUCAAUUCGAUGGCUGAUGUCUUCCCAGUAUGAGGACAGCACCACCACGGGCUUCACGUUGCCCCAAGAUUCAUGACAGUUGCUAGGAACUGCUAGAGGAUAUCCAACGAACAGUCACAUGUAGCCGAUAAUGGCCUGUCAUGCUCCAGUGUCACUCAAAAUAAGUAUGUGUACUCUCUUAUAACUCUCAGGAUGUGGCUUGGACAUCUUGGAUUUAAUGUGUCCUAGGACAAUUCUUCAUCCAUUGUGGCCCAGAGAACCCAGGUUGGACGGCUCUGGAAGGCUCACAGAAAGGAGUGUGAAGCACAAAUAUAUGGUGGUCUAGAGGUAAAAGCAGGGAUGGAGAACUGAAGCCAGAGACCUAAAGAGGGCAAGGUCCUGAGCUGGCCUUCUGAUUUCUGCAGCCAGGUCUCGGCCCCCAAGGCUAGUGGCAAGAAUCAGUGUGGCAGAGUGUGUACCUUGUGAAGAUUGUCUUAUCUACAGGAACUGAGCUGGGCCCUGGCAUAGGAGAGUUCUCAGCCUGGAAGAGUGACAUACACAGGCACAGCUGUGGUCCCCAGAGUCUACUUUAAACUCAUCCCAAAUGAUGCUUUAUCGGGAGGAGCCUGUGAUCUUGGACUAAUGAAAGCAGAGUCAGAGAUGGGACCCCUGUGUUCUUGCUAGAGACUGGCUUUUAUCCUGGUAGCCAGUCAGUGAUAGUUAUCUACCAGUCCCACCGGCAAGCUAGCCACCUACUGGUGGUGGCUGGAACUGCACAGGCCUCCUUGUUCCUUUGUAGAUUUAGGAGCCAUAAGCAGAUAGGACUGUGGGCAUUGGCUCAGCCUUGCUGACAUCUUGGGCCAGUGCUUCCCAACUUGAGAACAGGUCACAGGUCUCCGAUGUUGAGGUUCACCCCAGGUUCUCGCCCCUGUGUCUGCAGACAGCUCAUAAAGUCAAGGGCGGGAGAGCAAAGAAGCCACCAACACAAAGCCGCUAUUUAGUCCUGGUCAUCUUUCUGCCAAAACACAAGUGUUUCGCUGUUUUCCCUGAGCCUGGAGAGUUGGGUCCAAGGAAGCCCCAAGUCCCAAAUGAACACGCCUAGCUUUUUACUGUGAGAGUGAAGCCCAGUUUCCUCACCUGGAAGAACUGGAAGGGACAGAACAGGCUGCCAGCCACAAGUCACAGCUCAGCAGGCGGUCCCUGGGGACACGCGUGUACCCUGGAGAAGCCAAGCCAUUGCCUUCAGUCAGCCUUGCCAGCUCCCAAGGCUCGGCAGAGCCCCAAGCCCACGGCUUUGGCUGCCUGACACCCGCCUGGUCCAGGCAAGAGGGAAAAGGGGAGACUACUGGGAAAUUCACUGUCAUCCAAAAUCCAAAGACAACUUUGGUUUUCCCAGUGCCGUUCUGGAGCACACUGUCCAUAGGGGUGACAGCGUCAAAGAUGCCUGCAAGUAUCACAGGUCCCAUGAGUUUACCGCCUUUCAAAAGAAUAGCCACAUCUAAGAGGGCAUACUCCUUUUUUUAAAAUUAAUUAAUUAAUUAAUAAUAAUAAUAACAACAAAGUCUUCCCUUCAUACGUUGGUGCACAGGGUCCAAAGAGUACUUCAAACUUCAGGCUAGGCAAACUUAGGGCAGAAGUGCUUAAGAGGUUCGUGUUAGGUCUUGUCCUUACUGGGGACAAAAACAAGAUCACAAAAACAAAACUCCAGGCUGAAUCAAAUCAUCAGGGAGCUCAAGGCAGAAAGAAGUGGGUUUGAUUGGUUGGUUUGCUGCUGUUGCUGUUGUUGUCGUCAUCAUUGUUUUGAGAUACAGUCUCAAUGAGUUAGCCCCGUGGGUCUUUUACUCACUAUGUAACCAGGAUGGCCUCACACUCCUGAUCCCUUUGCCUCCCCCCAUGCAAGUGCUGGGCUACCAUAUGGUGCUGGAAGUGGAACCCAGGGCUUCUGCAUGCUGGGCAAGCACUCUUCCAACAUACUGUACAGUUUGUGUUGUGUUUUGGGAGAAACAAGAAAACAAGGCAGUGUACUUUCCAGGCUAGGGAAAGAAAUGUAGCCAUAGGCAAAGGAAGUGACAACCUUCAGGCCAGACAGCUGCGUCCACCUGAGAAAGGGACCCAUCUCUACAGGAAGGGCCCUCAGAGAACCCGGGAAGUCCCAAAGAAUAACCAAAUUUGAUCAAUAAAUUUAGCUCUGUUGUCAUAUU
rnacentral:lncRNA from 1 species